AUACUUGAAGGAAAUUCUUGUUGCAUGAUCAGUUUUUGGGUCAGUAAAUGCAGAUUUUACAGCAGCGUAAUGUGAAUUUCCAAUUGAUUUUGCUGUAAAUCUUGCAAUUUUAUCUACGACAAAUGAUCGUGACAAGUUGAUAGUUGCGUUGCCAUAAAACUUGCCCUGGUGAUCAAAGAACGAUUCGAGUAAUCUAUAUGUUGCAGAAGAAUUCAACUGAUUGCUAAUAUGCAACGCUCGCGAUGAGAUAAAUGCAUUGUCAUGAUACGGUAAAGGAAACGGAUGAACAACGAGAGAGACACGAGAUCCAUAGUGUUCGAUAGCUAGCUUGAGAGGGGGCCAUGAAUCGCGGCUAUCAGGGCAAAGGGGAUCGAAGAAAGCCUCGAUUAAUAUGGUUUCUGUAUCAGCGAUUCUGUUCUUGUACCAAAAUCCGUCUUGUCUAGAUGGAAGUGUAACCUGAGCGUUCACACGUACAACGCAUAAUAGUAGCAACACAAUCGAUUUCAUGGUCAUGAGAGUGUUAUAGUUCUGAAUUUUCAAGAAUUCCAUUUUUUCUUGAAAUGUAAUUCUAAUGUCUAAAGAUGUGUGAAACGAAAAGAGUUAAAUAGGUGAUCAUAAAG
rnacentral:misc_RNA from 1 species